rnacentral:rRNA from 1 species
UACGGAGGGGGCUAGCGUUGUCCGAAGUUACUGGGCGUAAAGAGCGUGUAGGCGGCCAGGUAGGUCUGCUGUGAAAACUCGAGGCUCAACCUCGAGACGUCGGCGGAAACCAUCUGGCUAGAGUCCGGAAGAGGAGAGUGGAAUUCCUGGUGUAGCGGUGAAAUGCGCAGAUAUCAGGAAGAACACCCGUGGCGAAGGCGGCUCUCUGGGACGGUACUGACGCUGAGACGCGAAAGCGUGGGGAGCGAACAGG